CCGUUAGCUCAAUGGUUAGAGCAGGGGACUCAUAAUCCCUUGGUUGCAGGUUCGAAUCCUGCACGGCC
rnacentral:tRNA from 1 species